rnacentral:lncRNA from 1 species
GCCGAAGCCUAGAAAGCACUCAGCCACUAUUGAGAUAGGAGCACACAGGACUCAAAGGACGCAGAGUAUCUACAAUAAGAGAACGGCAGGCUUCAUUCAAUGAUAAAAAUUGUGUAUUAGUGACUAAAGGAUCACCAGUCCAAGGCAGAAACCGGAUACCCACUUCCUCGUCUGUGAGAGACCGCUCCGCUCUGUAUCUGUCCCAGGAAGCAGACGCCACAGGAGGCUCUGAGCAGCUCGUGAGUGCUACACAUGCCUUUCAUUCCCCACCACACUGAGGUUAAGGACUGCAAAGGGCCAAAUAGCACUGCUACACACAAUAGAGCCAGGGUUAUACUAUAAGACCCAUAUGACUUAGUAUAAGAGCUCUUUUUCCACGUAACCUUGCUGAAUGGAAUAGCCUUCCAGGAGAAGUGGUUUUGAGUUUGACUCUGGACAUCUUCAAAAGGCAAAACUACUACUGUAGUCUCACUAGCACUCUACCCCUUCCCCACUGGCGUGAU